ACGAACGCUGGCGGCGUGCCUAAUACAUGCAAGUUGAGCGCUGAAGGUUGGUACUUGUACCCACUGGAUGAGCAGCGAACGGGUGAGUAACGCGUGUGGAAUCUGCCUUUGAGCGGGGGACAACAUUUGGAAACGAAUGCUAAUACCGCAUAAAAACUUUAAACACAAGUUUUAAGUUUGAAAGAUGCAAUUGCAUCACUCAAAGAUGAUCCCGCGUUGUAUUAGCUAGUUGGUGAGGUAAAGGCUCACCAAGGCGAUGAUACAUAGCCGACCUGAGAGGGUGAUCGGCCACAUUGGGACUGAGACACGGCCCAAACUCCUACGGGAGGCAGCAGUAGGGAAUCUUCGGCAAUGGACGAAAGUCUGACCGAGCAACGCCGCGUGAGUGAAGAAGGUUUUCGGAUCGUAAAACUCUGUUGGUAGAGAAGAACGUUGGUGAGAGUGGAAAGCUCAUCAAGUGACGGUAACUACCCAGAAAGGGACGGCUAACUACGUG
rnacentral:rRNA from 1 species